GGAAUAUUGCACAAUGGGGGAAACCCUGAUGCAGCGACGCCGCGUGAGUGAAGAAGUAAUUCGUUAUGUAAAGCUCUAUCAGCAGGGAAGAAAAUGACGGUACCUGAGUAAGAAGCCCCGGCUAACUACGUGCCAGCAGCCGCGGUAAUACGUAGGGGGCAAGCGUUAUCCGGAUUUACUGGGUGUAAAGGGGGCGCAGACGGCAGCGCAAGCCAGGAGUGAAAGCCCGGGGCCCAACCCCGGGACUGCUCUUGGAACUGCGCGGCUGGAGUGCAGGAGGGGCAGGCGGAAUUCCUGGUGUAGCGGUGAAAUGCGUAGGUAUCAGGAGGAACACCGGUGGCGAAGGCGGCCUGCUGGACUGCGACUGACGUUGAGGCCCGAAAGCGUGGGGAGCAAACA
rnacentral:rRNA from 1 species